GGCCUGAAAUUGUGGCAGGAUGUAUGAGGUUAGGCAAAAAGGAAGUGAACAAUUGAGAGACCCAACUCACUCUCCCUCUCUGUUUACCCACACACACUAGUAGAUCGAUUUUUCUGUACUUUGUUUAAAAGCAGCUGUGAUUCAAAAGAGAAGAGAGUAUGUCAGACCACUUUCCAAGGCAACUUCAAGCAUUAAAUAACUGAAAAAAUUUUCUUCUUCCUCCAGUGGUUCCUUCUGCAAAAGAAGGUGACCCUACACGGUUGGAUUGCUCUUGUUUAGAGAUUUGUCAGCAUUGUUUUUUCUACUUUAAGAGAUGUUUUCAGAAGCUGUGAAAAAAGAGUGACAAUCACUGAUAACAUCAACACCAUCAUCCGAAAAGCAACCACGCCGUUUUAAGUUGAAAUGAGUUUAUACCAUGGGAGGACUCUUCAGCUUAAAAGUGAUAUUUGGGGUUGAAUCAUCAUCUUGUGCAAUGUUUUACACUUUCUGCUUGCCUAGACAAUGGAGCAAUGAGAAGAGUACACUUAUCUACGAAUGAAUGGCAAUAAGAUUAGAAAUUGAGUUUGAAGAGUUGCUGAGUCACAAGAAUUUUCUAUACUUAGAAAAUGGAACCAUGUCUAUUUCCAGAGGAAGGAGGGAACAUCUUUUUCUAAUUUGCACAAAAGUGCUAUAUGGACAAAUAGUGGACCUCAAGUCUUUCACUGGCCCUGACUGCCUGGGCUGCUGCUGGUGAGUGAUCACAGUGCUAUCUCCCCAAACCACCCCUAUCCACUGUAACCCACUUCCGGCCAGCUUUGUAGAUGCGAGUUUGGGGUAGUAUAUCUGGGAGAGGGAGAAAUUGUCUGGAGCCUGGGGAGGCAAGAUGGGUAGGCCAUGAGGGCAGAAGCAAAGGAUAAAAAAACCUAAAGAAGUAGAAGGGUGAAGGCAAUGAAAUAUAACAGUGAGUCAUCAGGAAACUCCCUAAUUGCUUUGUCUUAGGCAAUCAUUGUGUAAGCUUUCAGAGUUUGCUUACCCUAGAGAAGCUAGGUCUCUGGUUAAGCAGUCUGGUGAAUUAACAUCCAAACCAGAGUCUUAAAAGCUUAUCCCCUAUAGACUGAUAUUUUAUCCCAGUUUUUAAUUUCAGGAGAAAAGUAGGAGCUAAAAUUGAUGAUAAGGGUUGUGGCCGUGUGUUUUGUCUGCCAUGUAUAUGUCUAAGUGGCCUUUCAAUACAAUCAUCCAGGCAACUCCCUUGGGGUUCGACCAGUCUAGUGGCUACUACUGUAGACUAAUUUCCUUGCCCCUAAUGGGGUACAGCUGAUCCUGAAAGAAAUGACAACAGCUAUGUUGAAUUGAAGUUCUGUCCCAAAGCCUACAGAAAACAAUGUCUGUUGUAGUCAUUAACGCCAUUCACCAAAUAUUUCCACACUUCUGGGAACAUGUUAGGAACGUCCAUCCUGGCCCCUUCACAGUUCAGUGAGGCCAAGUGUCUAGUUCUCGUCUGUGAAUUGUGAGCAGAAAUGAAAUGUGGCACUUUGAGACCUGGUGCUUAAUUGUCCUCCAGAGUAGAGAUGGGCUCUGCUAGAGAGGACGCCUCCUCUGACAGCCUGGAGUUCCCAGUGGCCACAAGUGAGUGGAACACUCUGCUGAAUCACAAUGGACAUGGUUUAGCUACUGAGGUUUUUGUUGUUGUUACUACUGCAUAAUCUAUUCUGAUUGAUACAAUACCUUUUUGGUUUUAUAUGAUGUUUGCUGGUUUUUAUGUUUUGCAGGCUAAGAAUAGUAAUCUAGAGCCUAGAUUUCUAGUUAAACAAGAAAUGUUCUCACUGAGCUAUAUAGUAAUAUGAUAUAAAAUUGUUCAAAAUGAAAUAUAGUGCUGUAUUUGAGACUGUCUAAAAAUAAAUGGUCUAGAAUUACCUUAAAAGUCCA
rnacentral:lncRNA from 12 species